rnacentral:rRNA from 1 species
UACAGGGGGGCAAGCGUUGUUCGGAAUUACUGGGCGUAAAGGGUUUGUAGGUGGCUUGCUCAGUCAGACGUGAAAUCCCUCAGCUUAACUGGGGAACUGCGUCUGAUACUAGCGAGCUUGAGUGCAGGAGAGGAACGCGGAAUUCCAGGUGUAGCGGUGAAAUGCGUAGAUAUCUGGAGGAACACCGGUGCGAAGGCGGCGUUCUGGACUGCAACUGACACUGAAAACGAAAGCCAGGGGAGCAACGGG